rnacentral:tRNA from 1 species
AGGGAUAUUUUGUACACGGUGUACAGUUUGAUUGCAGAUCAGAAUGAUGAGGUUCGAUUCCUUGAUAUCCCUG